rnacentral:lncRNA from 1 species
UCACUCAUGUGGGAACUAAACAAUCUGGUUUUAUGGAGGCAGUGAAUAGAAUGGUGGCUACCACAAGCUGGGAAGGAUGGCAGGGAGAAAGGAUGAAGAGGGAUUGGUUAAUGGAUACAAAAAUACAGUUAGGAUAGGGUGACUAUAAUUAAUAACUUACUGUAUAUUUCAAAAUAGCUAGAAAAUUCAGAAUGUGCCCAACACAAAGAAAUCAUAAAUAUUUGAGAUGAUGGAUAUUCCAGUUCCCCAGAUUUGAUCAUUAUACAUUUUAUGUUUGUAUCAAAAUGUCACAGGGAAAAUCCCAUAAAGAGGGGUUUGACCAAGAGACAAGCUGGCCUCAGAGAAUAGAUGCUGCUCAGCACCCACUGUAAGAUUUUCCUAAAAUGGCCCCGGUCACAGGAUGGUGUCCAUCCAAAACACAGCGCUGAGUCAUUCCUUCCUCCUGUAUUUGUUAUACUCCUCCUCGAGAGCGUUCGGCAGCCCCUCAUUGCCUCCAGAAUAAAAUCCAAACUCUUUGGAAAGGCACAGCCGGACCCCUGUGAUCCAGCGCUCACAUCCCCUCUCUGGUUUUAUCUAUUUUCCUUCAUGCUUCCUAUAUACCAGUCCCAGGGCUACUCACCACAUUCCCCAAAUGUGCCAUGUACUCUCUUACCUCCAACCUUCCAACUAGGGAGUUCCUUCAUUCUGAGUGCCCUCUCCUUUGCCAUCAUCCCUGCCCACCUGAGGCCCACAUAACCAGCACUCGAUACAUUGUUUUUUUUUUUUUUGAGACAGGGAAAGAAUAUUUAUUGAAUGGUCAUUUUGAGCCAGGCACUAUUCUAUAUUAGCUCAUUUAACCUUCAAGGUAAAUCUGUAAGUACUGCUAUUAUGCUCAUGUUACAAAUUAAGAAACUAAAGUCGGAGGAAGGGGUGGCAGGGGAGAGAGAGAGACAGAGAAAGAAAGAGGGUGCAGUGGCUCCUGCCUGUAAUCCCAGCACUUUGGGAGCCCGAGGCAGGCCAAAUGCUUGAGCCCAGGAGUCCAAGACUAGUCUGGGCAACAUGGCAAGACCUCGUCUCUGUGAAAAAUACAAAAAUUAGCCAGGUAAGGUGGCAUGCGCCUGUAGUCCUAGCUACUCCAGAGGCUGAGGUGGGAGGAUUGUUUGAGUCCGGGAGGCGGAGGCUGCAGUGCUGUGAUUGUGCCACUGCACUCCUGGGCCACAGAGUGAGACCUAGUCUCUAAAAAAAAAAAAAAAAAAAAAAAAAAAAA